GAUGAACGCUGGCGGCGUGCCUAAUACAUGCAAGUCGAGCGAACAGAUGAGGAGCUUGCUCCUCUGACGUUAGCGGCGGACGGGUGAGUAACACGUGGAUAACCUACCUAUAAGACUGGGAUAACUUCGGGAAACCGGAGCUAAUACCGGAUAAUAUAUUGAACCGCAUGGUUCAAUAGUGAAAGGCGGUUUUGCUGUCACUUAUAGAUGGAUCCGCGCCGCAUUAGCUAGUUGGUAAGGUAACGGCUUACCAAGGCAACGAUGCGUAGCCGACCUGAGAGGGUGAUCGGCCACACUGGAACUGAGACACGGUCCAGACUCCUACGGGAGGCAGCAGUAGGGAAUCUUCCGCAAAGGGCGAAAGCCUGACGGAGCAACGCCGCGUGAGUGAUGAAGGUCUUCGGAUCGUAAAACUCUGUUAUUAGGGAAGAACAAAUGUGUAAGUAACUAUGCACGUCUUGACGGUACCUAAUCAGAAAGCCACGGCUAACUACGUG
rnacentral:rRNA from 1 species